GUGGGGAAUAUUGGACAAUGGGGGAAACCCUGAUCCAGCCAUGCCGCGUGUGUGAAGAAGGCCUUCGGGUUGUAAAGCACUUUCAGUAGGGAGGAAAGCUCGGUAGCUAAUAUCUGCCGGGAUUGACGUUACCUACAGAAGCAGCACCGGCUAACUUCGUGCCAGCAGCCGCGGUAAUACGAAGGGUGCAAGCGUUAAUCGGAAUUACUGGGCGUAAAGCGCGCGUAGGCGGUUUGGUUAGUUGGAUGUGAAAGCCCCGGGCUCAACCUGGGAACUGCAUCCAAUACUGCCAGGCUAGAGUACGGUAGAGGGGGGUAGAAUUCCACGUGUAGCGGUGAAAUGCGUAGAGAUGUGGAGGAAUACCAGUGGCGAAGGCGGCUCACUGGACCGUUGUUGACGCUGAGGUGCGAAAGCGUGGGGAGCAAACAGGAUUAGAAACCCGGGUAGUCC
rnacentral:rRNA from 1 species